rnacentral:rRNA from 1 species
UCGAACGGAGUUAUAUUAUAGCUUGCUAUGGUAUAACUUAGUGGCAGACGGGUGAGUAAUGUAUAGGAAUCUACCUAGUAGUACGGAAUAAUUGUUGGAAACGGCAACUAAUACCGUAUACGCCCUACGGGGGAAAAAUUUAUUGCUAUUAGAUGAGCCUAUAUUAGAUUAGCUAGUUGGUGGGGUAAUAGCCUACCAAGGCAAUGAUCUAUAGCUGAUCUGAGAGGAUGAUCAGCCACACUGGAACUGAGAUACGGUCCAGACUUCUACGGGAGGCAGCAGUGGGGAAUAUUGGACAAUGGGCGAAAGCCUGAUCCAGCCAUGUCGCAUGAGUGAAGAAGGCCUUUGGGUUGUAAAGCUCUUUUAGUGAGGAAGAUAAUGACGGUACUCACAGAAGAAGUCCUGGCUAACUCCGUGCCAGCAGCCGCGGUAAUACGGAGAGGGCUAGCGUUAUUCGGAAUUAUUGGGCGUAAAGGGCGCGUAGGCUGAUUAAUAAGUUAAAAGUGAAAUCCCGAGGCUUAACCUUGGAAUUGCUUUUAAAACUAUUGAUCUAGAGAUUGAAAGAGGAUAGAGGAAUUCCUGAUGUAGAGGUAAAAUUCGUAAAUAUUAGGAGGAACACCAGUGGCGAAGGCGUCUAUCUGGUUCAAAUCUGACGCUGAGGCGCGAAGGCGUGGGGAGCAAACAGGAUU